rnacentral:rRNA from 1 species
CCUUUGACGUUAGCGGCGGACGGGUGAGUAACACGUGGGUAACCUACCUAUAAGACUGGGAUAACUUCGGGAAACCGGAGCUAAUACCGGAUAAUAUUUCGAACCGCAUGGUUCGAUAGUGAAAGGUGGUUUUGCUAUCACUUAUAGAUGGACCCGCGCCGUAUUAGCUAGUUGGUAAGGUAACGGCUUACCAAGGCGACGAUACGUAGCCGACCUGAGAGGGUGAUCGGCCACACUGGAACUGAGACACGGUCCAGACUCCUACGGGAGGCAGCAGUC